UUUGCAAUAAGGCCUCAAGAAAAUUCUUCUCUAGAACUGGUUUAUGAAACUUUCAUUCCACUGAAAUGUGUUUCCAACCAUAGAUGAUACAUAGUCUUGAAAACAAAACAAAUACAAAUUAAAGUACAGUAGGGUGCAAUCAAGUAGCACCAAUUGCACAUUCCAGUAAGAAAUCACUCAUCAUGGUGUAGGAACAGAAGGUGGUGCCGGUGGGGGGAGCAGAAGAAUUGGUGGCGUUUCACCGACUCCUUUUUUCAGAUUAGCAGUAGGUGCUGGAGUAAAAAAUCCUCUCCUUAUUCUGCCAAUCAAAACAGUUCCAGACGUAAAAUGAUCAUGUUUAGUGUUUUUGUAGUUCUCCACACCUGCAAAAUUUAUAAGUGGUACGUGCAACAUUUUUAUUUGAUAGAUAAUUUUUCCGAAGAAAAUAGUUUGAAAUAUAAUUAAAGGGUACCUGCAUUGGCAGCUAUGUUGCUGAAACCGAUAAGCAGGAUGAAGACUGCUGCUACUGCUAUAGAGAAGGAACCCAUUACAGCUUUAGUUGAAGGCUGAAUUGGAAUAGGGUACUAGUGUACUGUAUAUAUAAUAUGUAUUCAGUUUUUUGAAUUAUUGAUUAUGGUAUAAAUGCAUUCUCG
rnacentral:lncRNA from 1 species